rnacentral:rRNA from 1 species
AACCAGCUCUUCGAGUGCUGCCCAUAAUUAUUGAGCUUAAAGUGUUCGUAGUCUGUUUGGUAGGUCCCUGCUUAAAUCCGGUCGCUCAACGGUCGGUCUGGUAUGAAUACCGCCUUACUUGCUCACGGGAGACGAUGACUGUAUUCCGUAUGUAAGGGUGAAAUCUAAUGAUCUACGGAGGACCACCAGUGGCGAAGGCGGUCAUCGAGAACGUGCCCGACGUGGAGGGACGAAACCCAGGAGAGCACAUCGGAUUAGAUACCCGAGUAGGCCUGGGCGUAAACGAUGUCCGUUAAGUGUUGCAUUGGCCACGAGCCACUGCAGUGCUGUAGCGAAAGCGAUACACGGACCGGUUGCGAAAUACGGUCGCAAGACUGAAACUUAAAUGAAUUGGCGGGGGAACACCACAAGGGGUGGAGCUUGCGGUUUAAUUGGACUCAACGCCGGAAAACUUACCCGCCCAGACAGCCGAAUGAGAGCCAGACUGAUGAUCUUGCUCGACGAGCUGAGAGCUGGUGCAUGGCCAUCGUAAAUUCGUGCCGUGAGGUAUCAGCUCAAGUGCUGCAACGAAUGAGAUCCCUGCCACCUAGUUGCCAGCCGGGAGCUCCGGCUCUGACGGGGCACACUAGGGGGACCGCCAGCGAAAAGCUGGAGGAAGGAGGGGGCCACGGUAGGUCAGUAUGCCUCGAUAUGGGCGGGGCCCCACGCGCGCUACAAUGGCUGGGUACAACGUGUCUCGCCCCCGAAAGAGGAAGUCAAUCUCGAAAGCCAGUCGUAGUCGGGAUCGCGGGAUGGAACUCCCGCGCGUGAACCUGGAAUCCGUAGUAUCCGCGUGCCAUUAUCGCGCGGAGAAUUCGUCCCUUCUUGUU